ensembl:lncRNA
CGGGAAGGCAGCAGCUCAGCUCCUCCGGCUGCAGCAGCGACUGCACUACAGCAUCACCCUCUGGUUUUAUGGUGCCUUCCUCUCCCCUGCAUUCGCAGAGGGCCACAUUCACCCCGUUCUUCGCCCUACCCUGCCUGUGUAUGAUGGCAAAAUCUCCAGUGCAAAUGAAGAUGCUCCUGGCAUACUCCUUACCCACCUGGGCUAUUAUGGAGACAGAUUUGGAGGCUGGCGGCUCUUUGGCUCUGAGAAAAUCCCUGAAGAAAACAUCUUGGACACCCUGAGGCAUCACCUCACAAGUUGGACACCUGAAAUGCCUUCUAGCAGCAAAACUCAUUCAAAGGAAAUGAUUAUAAUGUUUUCUAGGAAGAAAGGAGUACAAAGACCUCUCAGCCCUAAACCAAAACCAAACAUCUCAGCACAAAUUGGAGCCUUGAUAGCUCAAAGCAAGAGCCUCACAAACAUCUAUUAGAAGCAGGAAAUGUCUAAUGGAAAACUUACAAACAUCUGAUACAUGAAAGAGAAGGCACAAAACAGGAAAGCAGAGGCAUGAACAGCUAAUUGCUGUAGAUUCCUCACAACAUUUGCUGAAACGCAGCAAGACACAGCACCAGCACUGGGGUAUACAACCACCAUUAAAGUAUUAGGAGCAACACUCAGAAAACUGCAACUUUAAAACAAAGCACUAAUACUUGGGACGAAGUGAAGCUGAUUCUGCUUGUGCCUGAGUUUACAAGGAGGUUUUGAAGGUGGCCAGAGGCAUCCUGGCAUGCUGCUUCUUAGCUAAUCCAUGCAAUGAAAGCUUGAAAAGAGGGUGUUUUUUAAAAGUAUGAAUUACUCUUCACACUGAAAGCGAGGCUUAAAAGCAAACUAUACAUUUUGUCAGGUACUGCAAGUGUACACCCCAUCCUACAGCUGAAAUUUGUAUUCAGUUCUGAUAAGCAUUGGUCCAUCUAUGGAAAAUGUGAGGUUUUGAUCAAGAGCAGUGCAUUAUGCUGAGCAUGGACGUGCAGCAAGCACACAGCACCUAUUCUGGCCCCUUGUAAAUGCCUGCUGCUUGUCUGAUUUGAAUAAAGUUAUGCCUGCUACUGUCAGAACUGCAUUUGGCUCAUGGUCUUCAUGCAAAUUGCCUCUUGCCUGAAUGUGCGCACCAUAUUAAGAAUGCAAAUAUGUUUGGACUCAAUGAUUGUUCCUUUAUUUGCUGUACACCACCCUAAUUCACUAGGAGCUGAAUCAGGGUAGUUUUGGUGUAUGCAGGAAGGCAGACUCAGACAAAAAUACAUGAAACUGUUUGCAAAUAAGUUAAUUAUGUCAAUAGAUCUGAUCUGAACAGUAACAUUCUCUGAUAUGCGUAUGACUUCUUGGGUGCAGCCAACAGAAUAAAAAGAGAAAAGGUUUGAAAAGAAUAGUUACUUUUCACAACGCAAAGUGUCUUUUCCUGCGUACACCUCAAUUACACUUACAUCCAGGAUUCCAGGAUUUCCUAUCUGUGAUACUUAGAGCUCUGAAGGCCAGGUGCUCGUCCUUUUCAGCGUGAAUGAACCAGUUCAUAAGCGUGAUGUUGCUGCGUGGAUUGCCCUGACUGACAUCCUGGAGCUGGAACCCAGUGACUGCACCCAUUUGCACAACAGCCAGUACAAAAUGGGCGCAGAAAUGAAGUACAUUCCCACUGUUUAUUUCACUGGCCAGGAAAGAGGAUGCUCCCAACUCCCAUCCUCAGUCUGAGAAGAGUGCCAGCUUUGGGUGGGAUUGUGGAUAUGUAAAUAUCCACCCGUGAGGAACACGCUGAGACCAGAGAAUUGCUCUGCAAAAGACUGACUGCUGGUGUGGAUGUUUUCAAAGUUAGCAGUGUGAUCGCUUGAAUUGGACUAUGAUAUUCUUAUUUUGAAAGCAGAGUCCAAUGGGCAAAUUAAUUUCUGAAGGCAUAGCUGAAUGCCUGACUGCCAAAGUGGAUAAUGAGCGUAUCACCAGUGAGUCAGAGGGGAGGCAGCAAUAAAACGGAGCGAGGCUGGACAGCAAUAAAGCAGCAGAGAGGGAAGCUCACACCUUGGCAUCAUGCUCAUCUUUGCUCUGGAGGGAGUGUGUAAAAAAGACAACAUCCAAAGCUCUUAGAAAUUAAGCUCUAAUGAGUCUCAUGGAAGGAACCCAUAACAAGGGAUCUGUGGGGGCUGAAGGAAUUUGGAACUACAGACAGCCAACCCAGUAGUGUGUACAUAUCUGUAGCUGCUGGAGAGCAGUGCAUCUCAG